UUCAUCAGCCAGCCAAAGGCUGGAUGUGACGCUUUCUCUGUCAUCUGUCGCCUCUGGACUGUAGUCGGUGGAAUAGUACACUCUGUCCUCAUGUGAAGUCAUCUGCUUUGCUGCAUCCACAAACUGGAGGAUGGCAAUGGCUGCCCAUGGGACGUGAAGGUCAACUUGGCUUUUUGGCCGAAGUUGGGCGGAAAGGCUUUUGUGGUGCAUUUUUGUCCCUCAUAUUUAAAUUGUGUCAUUUGUUAGAGCGUACAUUUAGCUUGCUCCUCGUGGAGCUGUGGGUAUACUUUGAGUAUUUCAGAAUGACACUAAACAAACACUUGUAUAUCCUCUGCCAGAGUGUUAAUCAGAGCAGCAGGCUGCCAGAUCCAAUCUGUAAGCCUCUGUCUGCCAGCUUGUGUCCAUACUUUAGAGAUGGUAUGUGUUUCAUGUUGAAGCCAGUGUCACUUUGGCCGAACCGUUAAUACUGCUAGAGCCUACUCUGUGAAGGUACGGCCAUUGGAGUGUCCUUGUUGACUUAAACAUUUAAUGUACGGCAUAUAUACACUGGUAUGUGACCUUCACCAGACCGUGGGUAGCGUGGCAACAUGGUUGCCGCUGUUCGUCACGUGGUGAGCGCGUGUGACGGGGCUCUAAUGUAAAGAGUGCAAAGGCACGAGCUAGAACGUACCUCUACAGAUUUUGUGAGUUUGCGCCACGAGCCGUUCGGCUGCCGCGGCGGCUCUCUUCAUCACUGAUAACGUUACAUAAGCAUACAUGACAAAUGUUAGCUGUCGCUGUUAGCAUAUGGGAUUGUUUUUGACAAAGAGAAAAUCUUAAGCUGGUAAUGUCCAGACUGCUCCAGGAAACACCCUUUGGCGUCUGUAUCCUGACAAAAAGCCCAAGCCUAAAACUACUGCAAGAAUGAGCCCUUUAUAUCCACGGAUGUCGCCAUGUUGCACCGCCAUGUUUCUACAGUAGCCCAGAACGGACAAACCAAACCACUAUAUUACGGUGUGAGGUAGAGUGGAUCACCUUGCAGGCGUCAAACAUGUGCUGACAGGCAUAUUUUUGACAAUCUAAAUCUAUUGUGCUAAAUCCAAUCAGAGUGGGAGGCAUCAUGCACACCAGGAGAGUGCCUCAGGGUGCUUUCUCACCAAUCCCUUUUGCACUCAGAGAGCUGAAGCUUAUGGGCUUGCGCAGCACAUGAUUCCUAUCCUGUAGGAUCUUUUCAAAGCCACCAGGGUCUGUCCAGGGUCACUGAUAUGGGGACACAUGGAGGCAAAGCAGCUUGUGUGAAAGGUUGAUUUCGAUUUGUCAUCCCCUUGAAUCAUCUGUGUUCUGUCACUGUAUUCCUAUCAGAAAAUCUGAACCUCUAGUGCAUGUGGAGGUCAAAGUGAGAACACAUAAUAAAGGCUCUAUUAAGGCAAACUUAUGUGUUCUCAAAUAAUUACUGAGAGGUUUGAGAAGGAUCUAACAUGUGACCUUUGACCUU